AAGUGCUGCGUUGGAACAAAGGCGACUUCUUCUCUUUGGCAAACUCUGAGCUCCUGCUCUGUUUUGUCCAAUUAUGGGUUGAGCUCGCCCCUGCCCACGAGCCAGCUAAUCAGACUUUUAUGAGCCUUGCUCCCUCACGCCCAGGGCCCGGAGCUGAAUGCAGGUUUCUGCAGAGAGAGGAGGACGUGCUUUUUGCCGGAAGACUGCUUCCCACUCUGACCUAAUCCUGGGAGCCCUGGAACCUCAAAUCCUAGCUCUCCGAGGAGAGUCCAUCCUCUUCCAUCAACAUGGACCUCAGGACCCUGGUGGGAGGAAGCGCCUGGAAGACAAGCCUAGACAUCUCCAACCGGAACUCGGGAUGAAUUCUCCCGUAGACCUACCUGUGAAUGGUGCCUGGCAUGGUCAAGGCUGAGACAACUAAAUGUAUGUUUUGCAUACACCCUCUAUGAAUCUGUGCUGGAUUACCAAAAUAUUGAAACAAGUGGAAACACCUAGAGAGUGCCGGACCUUGUGAAAAAGACCUAUAAUUCCAAUUAAUAUUUUUUAAAGCCUAAGUUUGACCCCCAAAAAGCUUUUCUCUAUAGUAUCUUGAACCAUACAGCGUGCGUUAUAUUGACUAAGUUCAGCUGACGCAAAGCAAGAACGGAAGAAAGCAGUGGUAGUGACUCAUCGGCUGUCAGUGGAGGCAAUUAUGCCAGGCACACAGAGUCUGUGGGAGCUGCCGUUCCACUGAGGGAGAGACAAAGCACAGGGCGUCUCAGCGCCGAGGGUCUGUGUCUGUCCAUGUAGCCAGUGGCCCCGUGUAGGAUGGGAGUCGCGAAGCUCAGCCGGUAGAGACCUGGGUCCUUUGAAGUUUCUUUUUCACAAGUGAUUUCAAUUAGAGAGCAGUUUCUAUUUUAAUAGUGUCCUGGGUGAAAUCAGGCUUUAAGAUUUUGAAGUCUUGGUGGGUAGAAAGGAGGGAAAAGGUUUAAAAGCGGCUAGCCGUUUUGGUGAAAGCAUCCAUUUACUUUAGACCGAGCCCUGGUUGUUUUCUGAAAGCCCCUCAGUGGGCCCUUGGGUGACACCUGUGUCAGAGCAGGUGGCUGGUAUUUGAAGGGAGCAUGGGGAGGCAAUCUCGGUGUAGACCUUCUCCACCAAGGCACACUAAUCUGCUUGGUAAUGUUUAUCUUGGGGUGUGGUUGAGGCGGAUCUGAGCCUCUGUAAGUGGAUGGUUUUUGGUUAGAGACAAAGGGAGUGGAAAGGUGGGAUCUGCUUCUCUCUUUGAGGGGCUACAGCCAGAAGGGACCCCAAAUAAGCCUGUUCUGAUCCCUCUGAUGGCAGAUGUAUCCCAACUAUCAUGUUUCUCCUCGGUGAGCCUCAAAACCUACAGUGUGGUCUUGUCCACAGUUUCCAUCUGGU
rnacentral:lncRNA from 1 species